rnacentral:rRNA from 1 species
AAAACUCUAAGCGGUGGAUCACUCGGCUCAUGGGUCGAUGAAGAACGCAGCAAACUGUGCGUCAUCGUGUGAACUGCAGGACACAUGAACAUCGACAUUUUGAACGCAUAUCGCAGUCCAUGCUGUUAUGUACUUUAAUUAAUUUUAUAGUGCUGCUUGGACUACAUAUGGUUGAGGGUUGUAAGACUAUGCUAAUUAAGUUGCUUAUAAAUUUUUAUAAGCAUAUGGUAUAUUAUUGGAUAAAUAUAAUAAUUUUUAUUCAUAAUAUUAAAAAAUAAAUGAAAAACAUUAUCUCACAUUUGAAUGUGAAAAACGAAGAGAAAUAUUUUCUUUUUCAAUCAAAUAAUACUGAGAAAUGUCUAGCAUAAAAAAUUGAAAUAUUUUUCAUCUAGAAUUGUCUCUUAUUAAUGAUUCGGAAAUAGAAAAAUCUUGGUUAUGUUAUUAUUCUUCGUUGGUUCGUUAAAAAUGGAUAAAUAAAAACUUUGCAUACAAGAAUUAAUAAAAAUGUUAUAACGAAUUUAAUUAAAUGUUUUAUCAUUAUAUAUAAAGAAUUUAUGGCAAGAUAAAGUUAUAUACAACCUCAACUCAUAUGGGACUACCCCCUGAAUUUAAGCAUAUUAAUUAGGGGAGGAAAAGAAACUAACAAGGAUUUUCUUAGUAGCGGCGAGCGAAAAGAAAACAGUUCAGCACUAAGUCACUUUGUCUAUAUGGCAAAUGUGAGAUGCAGUGUAUGGAGCGUCAAUAUUCUAGUAUGAGAAAUUAACGAUUUAAGUCCUUCUUAAAUGAGGCCAUUUACCCAUAGAGGGUGCCAGGCCCGUAUAACGUUAAUGAUUACUAGAUGAUGUUUCCAAAGAGUCGUGUUGCUUGAUAGUGCAGCACUAAGUGGGUGGUAAACUCCAUCUAAAACUAAAUAUAACCAUGAGACCGAUAGUAAACAAGUACCGUGAGGGAAAGUUGAAAAGAACUCUGAAUAGAGAGUUAAACAGUACGUGAAACUGCUUAGAGGUUAAGCCCGAUGAACCUGAAUAUCCGUUAUGGAAAAUUCAUCAUUAAAAUUGUAAUAUUUAAAUAAUAUUAUGAGAAUAGUGUGCAUUUUUUCCAUAUAAGGACAUUGUAAUCUAUUAGCAUAUACCAAAUUUAUCAUAAAAUAUAACUUAUAGUUUAUUCCAAUUAAAUUGCUUGCAUUUUAACACAGAAUAAAUGUUAUUAAUUUGAUAAAGUGCUGAUAGAUUUAUAUGAUUACAGUGCGUUAAUUUUUCGGAAUUAUAUAAUGGCAUAAUUAUCAUUGAUUUUUGUGUUUAUUAUAUGCACUUGUAUGAUUAACAAUGCGAAAGAUUCAGGAUACCUUCGGGACCCGUCUUGAAACACGGACCAAGGAGUCUAACAUAUGUGCAAGUUAUUGGGAUAUAAACCUAAUAGCGUAAUUAACUUGACUAAUAAUGGGAUUAGUUUUUUAGCUAUUUAUAGCUAAUUAACACAAUCCCGGGGCGUUCUAUAUAGUUAUGUAUAAUGUAUAUUUAUAUUAUUUAUGCCUCUAACUGGAACGUACCUUGAGCAUAUAUGCUGUGACCCGAAAGAUGGUGAACUAUACUUGAUCAGGUUGAAGUCAGGGGAAACCCUGAUGGAAGACCGAAACAGUUCUGACGUGCAAAUCGAUUGUCAGAAUUGAGUAUAGGGGCGAAAGACCAAUCGAACCAUCUAGUAGCUGGUUCCUUCCGAAGUUUCCCUCAGGAUAGCUGGUGCAUUUUAAUAUUAUAUAAAAUAAUCUUAUCUGGUAAAGCGAAUGAUUAGAGGCCUUAGGGUCGAAACGAUCUUAACCUAUUCUCAAACUUUAAAUGGGUAAGAACCUUAACUUUCUUGAUAUGAAGUUCAAGGUUAUGAUAUAAUGUGCCCAGUGGGCCACUUUUGGUAAGCAGAACUGGCGCUGUGGGAUGAACCAAACGUAAUGUUACGGUGCCCAAAUUAACAACUCAUGCAGAUACCAUGAAAGGCGUUGGUUGCUUAAAACAGCAGGACGGUGAUCAUGGAAGUCGAAAUCCGCUAAGGAGUGUGUAACAACUCACCUGCCGAAGCAACUAGCCCUUAAAAUGGAUGGCGCUUAAGUUGUAUACCUAUACAUUACCGCUAAAGUAGAUGAUUUAUAUUACUUGUGAUAUAAAUUUUGAAACUUUAGUGAGUAGGAAGGUACAAUGGUAUGCGUAGAAGUGUUUGGCGUAAGCCUGCAUGGAGCUGCCAUUGGUACAGAUCUUGGUGGUAGUAGCAAAUAAUCGAAUGAGACCUUGGAGGACUGAAGUGGAGAAGGGUUUCGUGUGAACAGUGGUUGAUCACGAGUUAGUCGGUCCUAAGUUCAAGGCGAAAGCCGAAAAUUUUCAAGUAAAACAAAAAUGCCUAACUAUAUAAACAAAGCGAAUUAUAAUACACUUGAAUAAUUUUGAACGAAAGGGAAUACGGUUCCAAUUCCGUAACCUGUUGAGUAUCCGUUUGUUAUUAAAUAUGGGCCUCGUGCUCAUCCUGGCAACAGGAACGACCAUAAAGAAGCCGUCGAGAGAUAUCGGAAGAGUUUUCUUUUCUGUUUUAUAGCCGUACUACCAUGGAAGUCUUUCGCAGAGAGAUAUGGUAGAUGGGCUAGAAGAGCAUGACAUAUACUGUUGUGUCGAUAUUUUCUCCUCGGACCUUGAAAAUUUAUGGUGGGGACACGCAAACUUCUCAACAGGCCGUACCAAUAUCCGCAGCUGGUCUCCAAGGUGAAGAGUCUCUAGUCGAUAGAAUAAUGUAGGUAAGGGAAGUCGGCAAAUUAGAUCCGUAACUUCGGGAUAAGGAUUGGCUCUGAAGAUUGAGAUAGUCGGGCUUGAUUGGGAAACAAUAACAUGGUUUAUGUGCUCGUUCUGGGUAAAUAGAGUUUCUAGCAUUUAUGUUAGUUACUUGUUCCCCGGAUAGUUUAGUUACGUAGCCAAUUGUGGAACUUUCUUGCUAAAAUUUUUAAGAAUACUAUUUGGGUUAAACCAAUUAGUUCUUAUUAAUUAUAACGAUUAUCAAUUAACAAUCAAUUCAGAACUGGCACGGACUUGGGGAAUCCGACUGUCUAAUUAAAACAAAGCAUUGUGAUGGCCCUAGCGGGUGUUGACACAAUGUGAUUUCUGCCCAGUGCUCUGAAUGUCAAAGUGAAGAAAUUCAAGUAAGCGCGGGUCAACGGCGGGAGUAACUAUAUGCUGCGCAUAAUGAACCUAAUUCUAUGGUGCGGUAAUCUACCACACUCUAUACGACUGGCCAGAACCGUCUUCAUCCCGAAGACGGUGACGGCGAAGCGACCGCAAGACUUUCGUCCAAUAUCAGUGCCUUCAGUCCUGGUAAGACAGCUAAAUGCAAUAUUGGCAACCCGGUUGAACUCAUCAAUCAAUUGGGACCCGCGCCAGCGGGGCUUCUUACCAACCGACGGAUGCGCCGAUAAUGCGACGAUAGUCGACUUAGUCUUGAGGCAUAGCCAUAAGCACUUUAGAUCUUGCUACAUCGCAAAUUUAGAUGUAAGCAAGGCAUUUGAUUCUCUAUCACAUGCAUCUAUAUACGACACCUUACGUGCUUAUGGUGCGCCAAAGGGCUUCGUUGACUACGUACAGAACACGUACGAGGGCGGUGGUACCAGUCUCAAUGGGGACGGUUGGAGUUCAGAGGAAUUCGUCCCUGCUAGAGGAGUGAAGCAGGGUGACCCUUUGUCUCCUAUUCUAUUUAACUUGGUAAUGGACAGGUUACUUAGAACCUUACCCAGCGAAAUUGGUGCCAAAGUCGGAAAUGCCAUUACUAACGCGGCCGCGUUUGCAGAUGAUUUGGUACUAUUUGCGGAAACUCGGAUGGGGCUUCAAGUAUUGUUGGACAAGACGUUGGAUUUUCUAUCUAUCGUCGGCCUCAAACUUAAUGCC